rnacentral:rRNA from 1 species
AACGAACGCUGGCGGCAUGCCUAACACAUGCAAGUCGAACGAGACCUUCGGGUCUAGUGGCGCACGGGUGCGUAACGCGUGGGAACCUGCCCUUAGGUUCGGAAUAACUCCCCGAAAGGGGUGCUAAUACCGGAUAAUGUCUUCGGACCAAAGAUUUAUCGCCUUUGGAUGGGCCCGCGUUGGAUUAGCUAGUUGGUAGGGUAAAAGCCUACCAAGGCGACGAUCCAUAGCUGGUCUGAGAGGAUGAUCAGCCACACUGGGAGUGAGACACGGCCCAGACUCCUACGGGAGGCAGGAGUGGGGAAUAUUGGACAAGGGGCGAAAGCCUGAUCCAGCAAUGCCGCGUGAGUGAUGAAGGCCUUAGGGUUGUAAAGCUCUUUUACCCGGGAUGAUAAUGACAGUACCGGGAGAAUAAGCUCCGGCUAACUCCGUG